rnacentral:rRNA from 1 species
CAAUAGCGUAUAUUAAAGUUGUUGCAGUUAGAACGCUCGUAGUCGGAUUUCGGGGCGGGCCGACCGGUCUGCCGAUGGGUACGCACUGGUCGGCGCGUCCUUCCUUCCGGAGACCGUUCCUACUCUUAACUGAGCGGGGGCGGGAGACGGAUCGUUUACUUUGAAAAAAUCAGAGUGUUUCAAGCAGGCAGCUCGCUCUUGCAUGGAUUAGCAUGGGAUAAUGAAAUAGGACUUUGGUGCUAUUUUGUUGGUUUCGAACACCGAAGUAAUGAUUAAAAGGGACAGUCAGGGGCACUCGUAUUCCGCCGAGAGAGGUGAAAUUCUCAGACCAGCGGAAGACGAACUACUGCGAANGNAUUUGCNAGGGAUGUUUNCACUG